UACCAGGUAGUGUGGUCUACGUCCACGGCAGUAGGAUGUGCUACUCAAAACUGCGCCUCCAUUAACGUGAACGGAAAAGUUGUCAAUAACGCAACAUUGGUUGUGUGUCAGUACGGGCCAGGGGGUAAUUAUGUUGGCCAAAGUCCAUUCCAACGCAGAAGUCUGAAGAGAGGACAAAGUUCCAUGAUGUCAUUGAUCCGAGAAAUUGCUGAAAAGUUGCGAAGUGAAACAGAGGUCAGCCAAGACAUCGUCGGCUCGGAGAAAAAUCUAGGAAUAGCACGUGAGAGUGAGGAAAGUACCAUGGAGAGUGUUAGCGAACCUGCAUCAUCUCCUCAAGAUUACCGUGGUCUUGAGUUCGCUAUGGUCCUGUGAAGACAGCCGAAAUCAGACCCAAACCCGAUUGUCCACCAACUCAUAGAUAGCUCAUAACUAUUCACCGCACUGCUUCGUCACUCUAUUCAGACUUUUCUAACCAAUAAAUAUAGCAUUUUAA